CCUCAUGAACACAAAUGUCUUUUACGCAAUUUUAUGCAGUCACUCUAUUGUCCUGAAGAUGGAAGCCAAAGUCCUGGGUCGAAGAUGUAAGAUUUUCACCACUUGAACCUAACAUACAUUUUGUAUUGAUUUAAAAAAAAUGCAAAAGCCUAACAGCUCCAUACAUCAAUAGUUCUAAAAAUGUAGGAAGCCUAACAUUUGUAGAUUUUGCUAAAAAUUGAGAAUUCUAGGCUUUACCGGACCCAGAUACUGAUUCAAGAGGUUUGGCAUAUGGCCAUCAAAUCUAUAUUCUAAGUGAACAUUUUUGUUAGUCAAGAUAGGUUAGUUUCCAUUGCAGUAACAGGCAAACCUCCAAAGUUGAUAUUCUACUUGACAAAACAUACAACAUAGGUCAGUUAGACACUCCUCUCUAGGACCAACGCAGAAAUGUUACCAUUCACUUCACCUGAGGAAAAGAGAAUGUGUUGAACUGCUUACUAGCCCUUAAAACUUCCACCCAGAAAUGUUUUUAUCUUAUUAGAUGAAACAAGUUUUGUGGCAAUACCUAAACUCAAAGUGAUAGGGAACUAUUUGGUGAACAGUAUUUAUGUAGCUAUUCUGAGGACUUCAUUUGAAGACACAGGUACCCUAUUAUUUAUUCUGAAAUAGCUUGUUCAUUAAGUUUCAAAACCUGCCUUCAGUUUUCCUCAGUGCAUUUCAAUACCCAUUGCUCAUGCUGAAUUUUUCUUCUGUUUCUAGGUGCACAAGAACUUCCAACUAUACGUUUAUCUUCUGCAACUAAGAAGUCAAAAGACAUUUCAUGCUCAAUAAUUUAUUUGCUUUUAUUGUAUUUUUAAUGCUCAACUUGUCAAAAAUCAUUAAUAUAUCUAUACCAUAAAAUAUAAUCUUAUUUUUAAGAAAAAAAAAUCUUUCAGCAAUCAAUUCAGGGCAAAAGAGAUAUCAAGAAAAGUAGUCUUAUCUGCUCAGUGGACUCCAACUAUUAAUAGAUUAUUUUCCAAAAAUUUCUUUAUAAAUCAGUUGUUUGAAAAUCUUUUAGAUUUCUCCAGUGGGACAAUAUUAUAGCGAUUGAGAUUUCUGGGAGAGUAUUCCAAUGCCUAUUUAACUCCUUAGGCUAUAUGUUCAAAAUGAAACACUGUAAAGUAAAUUUGUAUAAUAUAAAAUGAAACACCUUUACAAUGCUAUUAAUUCAAUAAAACAAACCAAAAAAGUGCUAAAAUUCAAAUAAUAUAUUGUCUAUAUUUUAAGCUAAUACUGAGACAAGCUUUUUUAAUUAGGGGAGAAUGAAAAGGUAGGUAGAGAUUUUACAGAUGUUUUGAAGGGAAUUAGGAAUAUUUUCAAGGAUUUAUAUGUUAUUGGCAGUAGUUCUUGAUUAUUCCUAAUUGCCACUUCAAAUUAUAUGAUGUUCUUGCCUUAAAACAGGUAUGUCACUAACCACUAAAAUUUCAAACAAUGAUUAUCCCACUGUUUGAAUCAUGAUUGCAAUAAUGAAGGUGAAAAUAAAAAAGUUAAUGAGGAAGGAAAUAAAGAGAGAAAAUACACCAUACUAACUGGGAAAGAGUUUUAACAGAUAAAGGAGAAAACAAUAAAAUGCAAGUGGAUGUGUUAUGUUGUGAAACAUUAUGUGAGGAGGAAUACCUGAGCUGGUACUGGUAAACUAAAGAGAAGAAAAGGAGCAGGAUCCAUUUGAGAGAAGAAUAAAGUUGGUUGUGCUAUAGAAACAUUGGAGUCAGACACCUUAGAGCAGGAGACAAGGGAAGAGUAGAAUUACUCUCUUGAUGUUUAAAGUAAUGAGUCUGAGUGGGACUUGAGCUUGCUUGUACAAUGACGUACUGGGUGAGAAGCAGAUAGAGGAAUGAGAUAAGAAGGGGCAUAAAAGAGCUUUUCUUUAGUAUUGAACGAUGAUACAAGGUAUGUGUCAUCUAUUCAGCCUCUUGAAGUUGAGGCAGGGGUUCCCACAGCCCCACACCCUGUUAAUGAGCCUAGCACAGAAUCUGUACCUGCUUUUCAUUUGUCCAUCCGUGAGGUCUGACAGCCUUCUGCGUGGUUAAGUUAGCUUUAUGCCUCCACCUCCCCAGCCCUCCUAUUUUACCUGAAUCCCAUUUCUGGGUGCAAUCCUGGGAAUUUCCUCCGAGGAGAUCAUAAAUUAGAUUGGAACUAGGACUAUUAACAAACACAAAACCAGGGAAAAACUGGAUUUGCAACAAUCCCUGGGGGCCGUGACUUUAUUCAAAUGAAUCAAGUGUGUAUUGAGUGCUGACUUCUGGAUCAGAUGCUAUGCUAUGAAAUUUCACAUUUAUAAUUUCUAUUUAACAUUUAAUCAGUUUUUGGCGAUUAUAUUCUCAGCAACCAUAUACAGGUGCUAGAGGGCUAACUGGCAUAGAUUCAGGUUCAAGUUAGAGAAGGCAGAAACCAGAGCAAGAUCAUGACAGCUGGGGACCACUGGAGAGGAACACUGACACUCUAACAACAAAAUGGACAACUCCAGUGGACCAAAAUAAGUUGACUAUACCUGAAAUGAUGGAAGAAACAGCGCAAACAUUAACCCUGAAGGGAGAAGGAAGAGAAGAGUCAUAUGUCUUUUGGCUUCAUUAUGGUGACAAAGACAGUUCUGGACGCCUUGCCCAUGCUUGGUACCUGCUAACCUAUUGACGCGAAUACGUGCGGUCUAUAUACACGGGCUCUCCUUUGCUUAUACCACCCAAAGUGAGUUGACUUUGAGGCCAGAAGCCAUAGACUUGAAAGGUAAAGUCAGAGACAAAUGAGGCUGAAGCUGUAAGGACAAAGGAAAUUAGAGGACCCUUGCUUACCUCAGAUACAGAGCAGGUAUGUGUUAGAAAUGUUUGUGCUUACUAAUUAAAUACAUUUCAUUUCCUCUUACAUCUUUUUUGCUUAACUAAGGAGAAAAUGUGCAUUAUUUAUAGGAACUAAACAUAAUGAAAACACAAAGAAAAGGAACCAUUUUGAUUCAAAUCUUGGCAAAUAUCCAACUUGCAAUAACUUGAAGAUUUAAUAUUAUUACGUGCACACACACACAAAAAUAAAGCCUAAUGCUCAUCCAAGCAUAUUUCAAUCAAAACUCUCUCUGGGAACCUUCCUACUGACAAUACAAUUUCAUGCAAAAUAAACAAUAAGAUGCAAAAACUACAGUAAGCAGUUUAGGAAAUUACAUAUCAAAUAUCUUCU